GGAGGUAUAGCUCAAUGUUAAAGCAAGUGCCUACCAUGCCCAAGGCCCUGGGUUUAAUCCCCAGCACCCCCA
rnacentral:tRNA from 1 species